UACGAAGGGGGCUAGCGUUGCUCGGAAUCACUGGGCGCAAAGCGCACGUAGGCGGCUUUGUAAGUUAGAGAUGAAAGCCCAGAGCUCAACUCUGGAACUGCCUUUAAGACUGCAUCGCUUGAAUUGUGGAGAGGUAAAUGGAAUUCCGAGUGUAGAGGUGAAAUUCGUAGAUAUUCGGAAGAACACCAGUGGCGAAGGCGACUUACUGGACACAUAUUGACGCUGAGGUGCGAAAGCGUGGGGAGCAAACAGG
rnacentral:rRNA from 1 species